UAUAUCUAUAUAUAAUAUAUAUCUGUAAUUAUAAUAUAAUCUAAUCUAAUCUAUAACUAUAAUCUAUGAUAACAACGAAGAGCAGUACUAUUAGACAAAUAUGAUGGAAGCGUUAAAGAUUGCUGGGAAAAAGGUUUAAACAAAUGCCGCUCGAUAACGAUUAACUUUCGGCGCAGAUGAGAUUCAAGUAACGGCCCAAUGGCACUGUCCCCUGGCACGGCUGUGUGCGACAUGCGUUCCUAAUUGACGGUUAUGCAAUGGCACUUAUCGAUCGGUUACCGUAUAAUUCAUUUACGGUAACUGAAAAAUGAGACGUCAUCGGCACCCAUCUGCUAGCAACGAUCGAUUUUAAUGGACGAAAGUCGCAACAGACGAUCGGUUUACCUAUUUUUUAAAGCGACUUUUGAACGUUAACCGUUCAUUAAGUAGUCUUUGAUUUUCAAUAGAUCUUCAUGCGCGGGAUCAUGCUCGGUCAUAGAUCUUUAAAAAAAAAUCAAUUUUCUCGGUUUUUCUAGCUCCUUUGAAUUUACAAAUGUUUUUUUAGCAAGGGAGCCAUGAUGCUGCAUUAAUUAACACGGAUGUCCUGUUUGUUUGUUAAAUAAAUUGAUUCGGAGAGAGAGAGAGAGAGAGAGAGAGAGAGAGAGAGGUUAGAAAGUGAGGCUAGGACAACCAGGUGAGAGAAAUGAUGAAAACGAAAAUUAGACGGAAAGAUGCUUCAAUAAUUAGUUAAAUAAGCAUCUCGAGACGUGCGCUCUAAUAAGGAUCCAUAUGAAAUAGAUUCGCGACGAACAGCCGAGAAACGACGUUAGCUUAACGCGGCGCAUGAUUUAUCUGAGAGUGGUUUAACUGGAUUGUGACCUAAUACUCACAUGACGUCGCAGAUUAACAUUCCUGUUGGGCAAAGGAUAUCGAGCUGUGACAGAAUGCGUGACAAAUUGUCUUGGAGCAGAGGCUGCAUCUUAAACGACAACGACCUCACGGGCGCGACCGAAACGCGAUGGGACGCCGGCACGAUGUUUUGUUGAGCUUUGUGGAAAUCUUGCUUGUCGACCUGUUACGAGGGACACGCGCUGUGUUCAACGGAUCUCGAACAAACAUAAACUAACAUACUAAAAUAGUGUAAAAGACGAUCAACGGGAAGACAAUGUUCGAACUCGUUAUUUUAUGUUUGCUAUUGCUGGACCGCGGAUUCGGUGCAUUAAUGACAAAAACUUGGAAACUUUAGAAAAUGUAUACAGGGUGUUCCAUAAUUACUUCAACAGCUGACAAUUUAAAGUAACUUUUUCC